rnacentral:rRNA from 1 species
ACGGGAGGCAGCAGUGGGGAAUAUUGCACAAUGGGCGGAAGCCUGAUGCAGCGACGCCGCGUGAGGGAUGACGGCCUUCGGGUUGUAAACCUCUUUCAACCAUGACGAAGCGUAAGUGACGGUAGUGGGAGAAGAAGCGCCGGCUAACUACGUGCCAGCAGCCGCGGUAAGACGUAGGGCGCGAGCGUUGUCCGGAUUUAUUGGGCGUAAAGAGCUCGUAGGCGGCUCGUCGCGUCGGUGGUGAAAUUCCGCAGCUUAACUGUGGGCUUGCCGCCGAUACGGGCGGGCUGGAGUUCGGUAGGGGAGACUGGAAUUCCUGGUGUAGCGGUGAAAUGCGCAGAUAUCAGGAGGAACACCGGUGGCGAAGGCGGGUCUCUGGGCCGAUACUGACGCUGAGGAGCGAAAGCGUGGGGAGCGAACAGGAUUAGAUACCCUGGUA